UUACGGUCACAUCACGUUGAAACAACGGCUCCGGUGCGAUCACCGAAGUUAAGCAACGUCAAGCCUGGACAGUACCUAGAUGGGUGACUGCUUGGGAAUACCAGGUGUUGU
rnacentral:rRNA from 1 species